CACACAGUAAACUAUGAAUACUCGCUGUUUGCGAUACACAGUAAGCGGCUAAGCGAAAGCAUUAAGUAUUCCACCUGGGGAGUACGUCGGCAACGAUGAAACUCAAAGGAAUUGACGGGGGCCCGCACAAGCGGAGGAACAUGUGGUUUAAUUCGAUGAUACGCGAGGAACCUUACCUGGGCUUGAAUUGCAACUGACAGCUUUUGAAAGAGAGUUUUUCUUCGGAACAGUUGUGAAGGUGC
rnacentral:rRNA from 1 species